AAAAAAUCCUAAAAGAAAAUCUUCUCUCUGUUACUAAGAAAAAGCUCCCUUCCCAUUCCCCAUUCUCCCUCCCUAGUGCUGGACAGCGCCGCCGCCGCCGCCUCCCAUCUUCUCGUCGUUCUCGGAGGACGAGGGCAGGAAGAAUCGCCUCUGGUGGCUGCACCGUCGUGCCCUCCACCCGCGCCGCCGUAUCAACGGGACCUUGCGCGGCUCCCUAUUAUUUCAGCUCCACCCGCGCCACCAUCGACGGCGCGGCUCCUCGCGUGGCUGCAGCGGCGCUCCUGGCCGGUAGAGGAGGAGUGAGAGGCCGCUGCUUCCUCAGCAUGGUCCUGCUCGCCGACGACGAAGCCCUGCGAGGAGACGGCUCCACUGCUCCGAGCUCCUCCGAUCUAUUGCUGCCGCCGCCAUGGAGCAGUGAAGGCCACGGGUCAGAGUGUUUAUCGUAUCUGGGAGAAUGAAACCUGAGGAGACUGUUGUAGCAAUAUUUCUCUACCAGAUGAAGUUGUGGAUAGAGUUGGAACAGUAUUGCCAUUUGAAGAUUCAGUUUUUGAGGAGGAAAAAACUGGAAUUUCUUGAGAUGCGGGAAGAACUUAUCAAGGUGAUGUAUAUGUCUCACAAAUAUUAGAAAUGGACUGUUUUUACAUCAUCUGCAAAUGCAACCAUGAUACUUGUCGUAGAUAUGAAACUCACAUUGGUCGUACUUCUGGUAAAGCUAGUAGUGAGUGGGGCAUGUAGUCACUCUUCUUUUACUAAUUUAUUGUCUUGGCUCAAAAGUCAUUCAUAUUGCCAUGCUACCUCGCCGUUCUGGAUCGACGCCGUCCCUUCGGGUUUCUGGUGUGGCGUCGAUCUGGACGAUGGCGCGACUUUGUCCGGUUGUAGUUCUUCGGUGCAGGUCCAAUCUCUCUGGGUGAUGUGGUGCUCGUGCGUCUGUGCCCGUGGCUGGCCGGCUGGUGCUGGGCUUAGGAAACAUUGUUCCCCGGUGCAGAGUGGCGACUGUGCACUACGGCCUGGGCUACAAUUUUUGACUGGUUACCCUGUUUCAGCUCUGCUCUCUUGUGUUCGGUUUCGGGGUAUGUAGAGAAUGUGAUGUUUAGAAAAAUCUGGGCAACAGCAGCAUUUCCAAGAUGACAAAUAUGUUCUUAUUUUGGCUUGAGACAUUGAAGAGGGGAUGUCUGGCCAUAAAGCCACCUUAUUGUGAUCGCCAUUGUAUAAUGUCUGUGUUGGGGUAUCUGCUUCUUUCAUGCUUGGAAACAUUGAUGAGGGGAUGUCUGUCCACAAAAUAUGGUACCAGUGUUCAUAGACAUGUUGAAGAUGUCGUAUAUGGAAACAGAUAACAAAAAAUACCUGAUGUAAAGCUGACUUGUGAAAGAGUUUAAUUGAACUGAAGGUGACGACCUGUGAAACUGACAGGUUAAUUGUAAAGCUGACUCGUGAAACAGUUUAAUUGAACCGAAGGUGUCAACGUGCGAAACUGACAGGUCAAUUGAACCAAAGACCUGGGAUUGUGUCACAUAAAAAAUCAUUGGAGAUAGGAUGUAUUUGUAGCACCAAAGAUGGCUGCCUCUAAGUAGGUUUCAAGACUCCUGUAGGAAUAUAAAUAGGAUUAUCCAUGGCUACGGUCCGGCGGCUACAUUUGUUUCUAAGCGAGCGGCGCCUGUCCUUUCCUUCAUCGAUACGGUCCGGCGGCUACAUUUGUUUUGGCAAUUAAAAAUAUAUAUACAUGGGCCGACCAGCAAUUGUACGCCUGUCCUUUCCUUCAUCGAUACGGUCCGGUGGCUACGUUUGUUUUGGC
rnacentral:rRNA from 1 species